ACCGGCGCACGGGUGAGUAACACGUAUGCAACCUGUCCGGUACAGGGGGAUAAGCGGCGGAAACGCCGUCUAAUACCGCGUGACAACCCGAGGGGGCAUCCCCUUGGGUUCAAAGGAGAGAUCCGGUACCGGCUGGGCAUGCGGCGCAUUAGCUAGUUGGCGGGGCAACGGCCCACCAAGGCGACGAUGCGUAGGGGUUCUGAGAGGAAGGUCCCCCACACUGGUACUGAGACACGGACCAGACUCCUACGGGAGGCAGCAGUGAGGAAUAUUGGUCAAUGGCCGCAGGGCUGAACCAGCCAAGUCGCGUGAGGGAUGACGGUCCUAUGGAUUGUAAACCUCGUUUGUCAGGGAGCAAAGGGCGCCACGUGUGGCGCUUUGCGAGUACCUGAAGAAAAAGCAUCGGCUAACUCCGUGCCAGCAGCCGCGGUAAUACGGAGGAUGCGAGCGUUAUCCGGAUUUAUUGGGUUUAAAGGGUGCGCAGGCGGAAGAUCAAGUCAGCGGUAAAAUUGAGAGGCUCAACCUCUUCGAGCCGUUGAAACUGGUUUUCUUGAGUGAGCGAGAAGUAUGCGGAAUGCGUGGUGUAGCGGUGAAAUGCAUAGAUAUCACGCANAACUCCGAUUGCGAAGGCAGCAUACCGGCGCUCAACUGACGCUCAUGCACGAAAGUGUGGGUAUCGAACAGGAUUAGAUACCCUGGUA
rnacentral:rRNA from 1 species